AGCACACCGCCAUUGGUGUAUGUUGGAAGCCCCGCCAAUGGAGGCGGUGCCGUAAUUGACAGUGAAGGAACUGGCGUAAACAUUGGCGUCUGACAGUGCAGCAGUUGAGCUGCUGUAUCUACGUUAAAGCGUUGUUUCAGAAGAACAAUUCAUAUUUACUUCAAGUAGCCAACUGCAUCACACUGCUUCGAAUGGAGACCAGACAACAGGAGAGAGGACAAGGACAUCUCAGGACAGGUUUGCUGGACCCAGAGCCUCUAACAGAAGUAGAUGAAGAAAUGGUGUCAGAAGUGGACCUCUACAACACUGUGACCGAUGAGGAGAGGGAGGAAAUAUUGAGUGAACUCACUAAGUUAGAGGAAGAAAUCUCCACCCUGAGACAAGUGUUGGCCUCCAAAGAGAAGCACCACUCAGACCUCAAAGCCAAACUGGGGAUAACACCACUCAGUGAGCUCAAACAGAACUUCAACAGGAGCUGGUAUGACAUGCAGACUUCCACUGCGUACAAAAAGACGUCUGAGACGUUGAGCACGGCAGGGCAGAAAACGUCAGCAGCUUUCACCACAUUGGGAACAGCCAUCAGCAGGAAGUUUGGGGAUAUGAGGUACGGUGUCACUGGUGCCUAUAGCAACCACACAACAACAUCAACAUCUUUCAUAUCCAAUCAACUGAAGCCUUACACUACGACUACAUCUUUUAGCCUACAGCUAUUGAGACAGAAUACAAGGUGGCCUCCAGUCAGAAUGACCACCCUCCUCCCUCAUCUCCACUUUUCUGCAGCCAGUCUGUCGUGUGCCCAAUCCUAAUUGUUGCUGGGGUUGACCCAGACAGUCUGUUGCAGGGGGCAUGUUUGUGUUGCAUAAGCCCAGAGUAAGCAGCUUUCUGCAGGCCAGAUUGGAUGCGGGCCUGGGGUGGAGUGGGGAGGGGGGUCAGUAACCCUCUGGGUGUCUGCUGACCACUCUCUGCCUUGAAGACCCAGAGUUCUGACUGGGCAGGGUGGCACAAUGGAGAUCCAUUGCUGGCCUGUAUGCUUGCUUUGCAGGGGCACACACAGCCACUGGGGAGCUAUCAUAUCAUAGACAGCUGGCCCCGGGUUCACUAGUAAUACAAUACUCAGACUAGCCAUGACAAAGAAAAACUGUGAUUUACUGUUAUGCCUGUCCAUGUCAUUUAGUGUGUGUUGUAGACGUGUCAGAGUCUUUGUCUUCGUCAUCAUUAUUGCAUGAUAAUAACAAAAGACUCACCACCGCAGGUUUAUAAUAGUGUAUUAACCAACCAACGUUAUGUAUAAAAUCACGUUGAACAAUGAUCCAGAGAGACAAAUAGAUAUUCCUUUGUGUAUUGCAGCAUGUUUGGCCUUGAGUUAAUGUAUCCCAGAAGGUAUGCCACCUAGUGUGCAUGUGUGUGUGCAUGCAAAUGAGUUUGUCCCUGUGUGGACUAUUCGUGUGAAUUGAAAAUACAGUAGAACACGUUAUUUUCAUGAACCGUGUUCACUAUGUUGCCCAGUGAAAUACAAAAAUAAAAAAGGGGUGCCCUGGCUGACUUGCAUUGGUUGAAAUAUGCUAAACCAAACAUUUAGCUAUGAGGAACCAUGGAGAGCAAGGUACAGUAUGUUGCCUGGGGGUGAAGUUUGCUGUGGGCUUUACUUGGGUGACUCCCUUACACUUACAGACUGCAGGUUGUUUGCAUUAUAAUGCAUAGUGUAUACAGUACUGUAAGGAUACAGUAUAUACAGUAUAUGGCAUGAUAACCAGAGCUUUGAUGAUUUAAUGAUUGGUUAACUGUGUGUUUGAAGUGUGUUCCCGCGCUGGAUCUUUGAAUUUGGCUUUUCUUGAAUAGAAGUUCGAUUAAACUCUGUCAUGAUUCCAAAAUUAAGUAGCCUAAUGUAAAGUGUUGGUAGGACACUCGAUAAUGUCAGGACAAAUGUCUUAAAUGUCUCUUUGUUUCUUCAUCCUUUUCUAUGCAUCCAAAGAUCAAAUUCACUUGGGUAAGAAAUUGUGUUUUAGUGUUAUUGGUUGUAUUAUACCUCUGAUUUAGAGUCAGAUAUGCGUGACUGCAGUGAAACUAGUCAGAAGACGGACAAAGGCCAUUGUUUACGUAAAUAUGAGUGGGAUUUAAGAUAUAAUGGUAAGAUGACUACCAACUGAAUGGGAUCAAUUCCAGGGAUCCCUUGAUUUGAUUUAGUCAGACACACAGUUAGUUCCAGUGCAGUCACAUCAUAACCUAGUGUGAAUGUGUAUACACGCAAACCUCAUAGUGAACUCCUCAGAUCUGUAGCACACUGACCAGUAGGCAUGCAUGACUUUGACUGUUGUUGACCAUAGCAUGUUUUACUUGUGGGCGGUUCAGUAUAGUUAGUUUUUAGAUAAUUUGUCUUUCUCUUUUGUACCUUCUGUGGAUGUAGCAUUGCUAGUUCUCUGUAGAAGAUGUUAGUCAUAUACACAUGAAUGAGUCAUCGAUACGAUAUGACAGUUGUCUAAGAACAUAUAUCAUAUUACAAUAAGCCAUUAGAUUCCUCUAAAAUAUCUAUCUAUUUUUUUUUAAGGCAAUCAGAUGAUGGGUAAAUCUACAUUAUAGAAAUGCCUAGAAAGUUGCCCUGCUGAAUUACUGUAGACUUAGAGGGAGUGCUUGCUGUGUGUGUGUGAUUGCGUGUGUGAUUUCUGCUGUCUGUAAAUUCAUGUUAAUGAUUUAACUCCUCUCUUACCUGGGCCAUGCUCUCUUGGGACAGCUACUCUAUCCGCCACUCAAUGAGCAUGCCCGUUAUGAGGUAAUUGUGUGUAGCCUACUUUGUGUGUAGUGAUAGACUUAACCCUCCACUAGAUCCCAGUCCUUAGCCACCCACCCAUUCUCGUUGUCUUAAGGCUGAGCGUUUGUAAGCAUUGUGAGUAGAAUUGGUAUUGGUUCAGAAUUUAUAGGUGAAACAGGCUUGCAUUGUAACAUUGGCAUAUCCUGCUGCAAUCAUCAGGAGAAGAUUCAUCCAUUUCUAGCUAUCUGACCUGUUUAUCCAAAGAUAAACGUGUGGAAUCGUAACACUAGAAAAAGUGACCUUUCUAUAACACUGAUGAGCAUACAGGACUUCUCCCAGUGUUUUGUUAACAGAGCACUGUAAGUAACGGUAGCUUUAGCAGAGCACUGUAAAUACAGACCGCUUUAGCAGAGCACUGUAAGUAACGGUAGCUUUAGCAGAGCACUGUAAAUACAGACUGCUUUAGCAGAGCACUGUAAAUACAGACCGCUUUAGCAGAACACUGUAAAUACAGACCGCUUUAAUAGAGCACUGUAAAUACAGACCGCUUUAGCAGAGCACUGAAAAUACAGACCGCUUUAGCAGAGCACUGUAAAUACAGACCGCUUUAAUAGAGCACUGUAAAUACAGACCGCUUUAGCAGAGCACUGUAAAUACAGACCGCUUUAGCAGAGCACUGUAAAUACAGACCGCUUUAGCAGAGCACUGUAAAUACAGACCGCUUUAGCAGAGCACUGUAAAUACAGACCGCUUUAGCAGAGCACUGUAAAUACAGACCGCUUUAGCAGAGCACUGUAAAUACAGACCGCUUUAGCAGAGCACUGUAAAUACAGACCGCUUUAGCAGAGCACUGUAAAUACAGACCGCUUUAGCAGAGCACUGUAAAUACAGACCGCUUUAGCAGAGCACUGUAAAUACAGACCGCUUUAGCAGAGCACUGUAAAUACAGACCGCUUUAGCAGAGCACUGUAAAUACAGACCGCUUUAGCAGAGCACUGUAAAUACAGACCGCUUUAGCAGAGCACUGUAAAUACAGACCGCUUUAGCAGAGCACUGUAAAUACAGACCGCUUUAGCAGAGCACUUGUAAAUACAGACCGCUUUAGCAGAGCACUUGUAAAUACAGACCGCUUUAGCAGAGCACUUGUAAAUACAGGAAGCUUUAAUAAGUGUACACAAAAGUACAGGUACAGUAUGGUGGCUCAGAUAGAUAUAAACAUACAUGUUGUAUACUAAAGUAAUAGUAUUGUAUGAAACUGAACUGCUUUUCAUCCCAUUAGGAACUCUCCCAGUUUCAAGUCCUUUGAGGAGAAGGUUGAAAGCACCGUUUCCAACAUAAAGACCAAGGUAGGAAGCCAAGGAGGUGGAGGGAGUUUUGAGGAGGUGUUGUCUUCAGCCGCCCACGCCAGUGCCCAAGAAACCCCCAGCAACAACCUGUCUGAGAGCAGUGAUCAUGAGCGGACCUGCUAGACCAGAGCCUGAAACAACCUCCCCAGACCAGGAUUAGCACUCUACUGCCCCUCACUGGCCCAGAGGCCACAUUACAUUACCUGAUGAGGAGAGCAUGACAAACAGUAGGCCUAUCUAUCCAAAGCCACAUCAAGUACCAACACAAAUGUGUAUUAUCUAAUGGCUUCUUAGCCUUUGUUUCCAAUCUGUAAAGCACUCCUGCCCUUGAUAUUUUAUUACUAUGAAUACAGCUAUUACCUUUUUGUAUUUUAAUAAAAAAUAAAUGUGUUCCGUUUAUAUCAAUGUAUUUGAUAAACAAAAAGUAGUGACUUUCUUCCCAGUACUAAAACAACAUUUUCAUGAUGACACCUACUUUCCAAGAGUGGACAGUCACAUAAAACUAUUGGGGGAGGGAAUUAUAUUUGAAACUAAUACUUGAAAUUGCAAGUACUGGAUUUGUAGGCCUAUACUGCACUGUAAAUGGGGACCAAAGUAAGGCCUCGUGCUGAAAAUCUACUGAAUACACUGUCAUCCCGAUGAAUCACACUAAUAUCUCCUUUAUUCCAACCGUGCACUGUUUGCACUUGAGCCUUGAUGGGGUCUCCUAAAUCCGGACCUAAAUUAUACUUAUUAUCACAGCAGUCAGGCAGUGUAGAUGCUUUGACACACUGUGGGAUUAAAUGUCUAUUUUUAAAUAUGGUUAUUUCUUCUGUUUAUUACUGCUAAUCUUCAAUAAUGGACCAAACAGCUGGUUUUCUAUUUACAGAAUGAACUUCUGUCAUGUGAUUUUCUCCUUGUGUUUAUUGUUCAAGUUGAUUUUUAUUGGUUGCUGUGGUUUUUAACUUAAUUGUGACUAGACGUUUGUCAGACAUUUAGGUGAUAAUGUUUUCAGACAUUUUGACUACGUUUUGUCAACAGCAGUCCCUGUGCAGUCCUGUGUAGCCCGGUAGGUAGAGCAUGGCGGUUGCAAUGCCAGGGUUGUGGGUUCGAUUCUCACGGGGGACUAGUAUGGGGGGGAAAGUAUGAAAAUGUAUGCAUUCACUACUGUAAGUAUGACUUAAAUGUACUCUAGCAACUUCUGCUUUUUUUUUAAACAAAACUGUAUCCCAGUAAGAUAACACACUAUGAAUAAACUGUUUUUUGCAGUAUGACUAUUAAACAAUUUGUUGCAAACCAA